ACAAAGUCUGUGGUCAGUUUGUGUAAAUACAUAAUACUGACCAAUGAAAGAGGCGAAAAGGCUAUGAGGUCAACAUCAACAAACUUUUGAGGAAGUAGUAGCUAGUUUGAGUAAUCUCGAAAAAACGAUGAA
ensembl:ncRNA T09B9.8 ncRNA